UUUUUUUUUUUUUUUUUUUCCCCUGAAAGGACUGAUUAAGCUAGAGAAUCUAGUUUAUUCAGAAACAUGAUGAAUUAUGAGCAUGUUAGUUUGGGGAACACCAGGUUAGAGCUGGCUGACCCCUCUAGGGGAGAAAAAGGUAAAAUUAGAUAGACAAACUCAGUUUUUGCUGAAUAAGUGUGGGCAGGGUGGAGCUGACAUGAGGAUCAGCUGGGAAGCACAGCAUGGAAGUGAAUGAAAGCCCAGAGCUAUCUAGGGCAGUAAGUUUUGGAUGGAGUGUGGCUAGAUCAGUGGUUUCUAGGAUACAUCAGGGAUGGGUGUGGAACAGAGGAAAUGAGAACGAAAGAUGAUGAUCUGAAGAUCUACUAAGUAAUGCAGAGAAGGGAGACUGAGUUUGGAGGAUGUCCAGAGAGGUAAUAAACUGAUGAGUUUGGCACUUGAGAGAGAUGGGAAGUAGCAGAGCAUCAGAAGCAGCUAGCAACAGAAACCAAAUGCUGUGAUGGAAGAGAAUUUCCCAGUUCAUGGCAUUGCAGAAGUUAAUACAGUCAUGCAGCAGCAAUGUGGAGCAAUGUGGGCUGUGCAAAGCUAUCCAAUGAGCAUUGACUGCACUUUUGAAAAAAUCCUACAUGAGCAGCUAAAAAGCUGAAGCUCAAGAAGCCAAUGUGCUGGCUGAUGCAUUUAUUCAUAAGUUGUCUGCAGAGCUUUAUAUGUAAAUUUAACACAAAAGAAUAGUCUCCAAGUUCAUCCACUCCUCAUUGCUGAAUGGUAAAAGCUUUCCUUAAUUUCUAUAAUAGCAAGCAAGUUGUCUCUAAUUUACUCUCUUGGCACUGCUUUUUCUCAACCCCCUGAACCGUUGUGCAUCUGAAAGGGCUGUGAUCGAAGGCUUAGAUCCAAUUCCAGACUAUCUAGUGUAAUUACAUUCUGUAAUCUGUUUCCCUUCUAACCUCACAGACCUGUAAGCUGCUGUUUUCCUCCUCUAGGGAUACCAGACUCAAUCAGCAGCACAGCAUGGAGCCCGCUUGUCAUUUCCUACACGUUAACAUCCAUUCUGUAAGGACUAAUUGCUCCCAUAUGGCAAACCCACUCCCUUCUGAACACAAUGAACUUGAGACUUGUUUGGAGCUGAGAACUGGAAACCUUAUUGCCCACAUGUUCCCUGAGGAGUCUCCUGAGUAUCUCAGAGGGAUAUGUACCUUUAAGCAUUUUUACGGCAACUGUUUUGCAGGUUGAAGAUUUAUCAAUGCCAAAAGCAGAUGCUUCCACCACCUUCCCAAAAGCACCGUGACCCAGUGUUUUACCUAGAGAAGCAAGAGUCAAGAAUGAGCCAAAGGGGGCUUUAAACAGUCUGCAUCAGCCCAACAAAUUCUCCUGAAAUGCACCCGAGGGAAAGCAUCGCCAGUAGCAGAUCAUGGCUGUCCAGCAGUCUUUGCUCCCCCCUGCCCAGAAGCCGUGCUGUGCAAGGAGAUGACGUGAACACAGUCUCUGCUACCAAAGCUUGUGCAGUCUGGUUCCCCACGUGUUGGUAAAUCAGAGGGGUUGUUGUGCUCGAGGUGCAAGAAGUGGAUGGAAAAAAAGGCAACGAGCUCUAACAACGCUGUAAUGUGUUUCCCUUGCCAGCCAGGUAAGCGU